UGUUAACUGGGGAUGUUUCCCUAGACUCAAAAGUGACUCAGACCUCAUCAUCUGACACACUGGCCAUCGGUGCUCUGAACUAAAACACGGAAGAUCCGAUUCACAACAGUCUUCAUUCUCCAAGAGCUGGGAGCUAUCACAUAUGGCCUGAUUUGAUCAGAAUGAGGGGCUCCAGCUUAAAAAAAAACAACAGUUCUCUUCUAUCUACAAGAAUUUGAAUCCAGAUCUUCCAGAAUCUAAGGCCAGCCCAUGGGUAUCUACAAUAUUACCAAUAGACUAAAGGAAGAAGAUGACUCUUAAAGACUAACAAGAAGGAAAAAAACAGAGAAAUCUUAAGGAGAAUAAUCUUUCAAAUGAAAAGGAAAGAAGAAAGAGAACUAAAGACAAGAAAGUAUCUCACUGCCCUUGAUGAGUUCAGGUCACCGAGCCAUUAUGAAUGAAUCUUUGGAUACCGAAUUAACAAGCAGUUGGGUCAGCAGCAGCUGCAUCUGGAAUGGAUCUUCCCAAUCUGGUUGAGUUCCACCAGUCCAAUCCACUGGAAGUUCUUGAUGACAGACGUAAUCACCAGAAUGAAAACUGUGCAGCAAAAAGUAUAAAGACCCCAGGAAAGAGGAUAAAAGUUCUCAGAUCCAUCCUGCCUGAAGAGGAGUUCUCCAGUUGUGCUGAAGAAAUCAAAGGAGGAGACUUAGGUCGCAGAGAACCGGGCUAUCUGAUCAAGGGCUCUGUAGCUGUCCCAACUUUAAAAGCACAUGAAUCCCAAUUGUUCCAUUCUACUUUAAACAGAAAUUUAAAACGUUGACUAACUUUGGGAGCGGGAAAAUACAUCUAACUUCUAAUCCAACUUGCUUUCUUCCUUUCUAAACUAAUCUAAUCUAAAUCUAAACUUCUUGAUAAAAAUCAGUAAAAGCCAAAAGGAAAGGUUUUUCAAAUCUCAAAAUGACAAGAUCUUGUGUGGGCUUCAAAAAGCAUCAAAAAUCACACUGGAAGAAGUACUGUUUUUUCUUGAGAGUGCUGUGGGGUAUUUAAAAGUAUUACAAGGAAACACAAUGGAUUUUGCUUUAAGGAAAUAAUUCCUUAAUGAUUCCUGGGAGGUCCCUGGGACCACUGUCGUUGCUGAAUACCAAAAAUUAUUUUUAAAGCAUGUUCUCUGCAAUGAAGUUAAAAUAAAUGGAUUUGAUUUUUUCAUCAGGAACAGCAUCUCUGGGAAGUGGAUUUAUGUAUUAUCUGCAGAAUGUGCAUGAAAUACUGAAAAUGAGAAAAGUUUGUGGCUUUCCUUUCAUCCUACUUUACUCUAAAAAUUGCUAACUUGUUGACACUCUUGCAAAGCAAAUUCAUUUGGCUGAUAGAAAAAAACAAAGGGGAAAAAAACCUAUUUCAAUCAAGAGAUUCCCUAUGUUGCUUAGCGAAGGAAAAACACAUUCAAAUUGCAAAUAAAAGAUGCUUAUAUUUUCACACUACUCUGUUAAUAGUGUGAU